rnacentral:rRNA from 1 species
UAUGUGAUCGUCUCUCGCAUAUCAAUAAGCGGAGGAAAAGAAACUAACAAGGAUUCCCCUAGUAACGGCGAGUGAAGCGGGAAGAGCUCAAAUUUGAAAUCUUAAAGGGUUUCCCUUUACGAAUUGUAGUUUAAAGAAGUGUUUUCUGUUGAGGUUUUGGUAAAAGUUCUUUGGAAUAGGACAUCAUAGAGGGUGAGAAUCCCGUAUUUGACCUUUACUUUCAACUUUGUGAUACACUUUCAAAGAGUCGGAUUGUUUGGGAAUGCAGUCCAAAAUGGGUGGUAAAUUUCAUCUAAAGCUAAAUAUUGGCGAGAGACCGAUAGCGAACAAGUACCGUGAGGGAAAGAUGAAAAGAACUUUGAAAAGAGAGUUAAACAGUACGUGAAAUUGUCAAAAGGGAAGCGUUUGACACCAGUGUUGUUUUUCUGAAAAUCAAUUAAAGAACUGUUUAUGCUAAGCUGUUUAGACUUUAUCAGCUAUCUGUUUAGUUUUGAGCUAUUUCUUUAAUGCACUUUUCAGUUAACAAGUCAACAUCAAUUUCUUUUGCUGUAAAAAAGCUUGAGGAAGGUGGCUUGAGAUUCGUCUUAAGUGUUUAUAGCCUCUUGCCUAUGCAGUCGGAGAGAUUGAGGUCUGCAGCGUAGAUCCUUCGGGGCUAAAUGCAUUUGUGUUAAGUUAUAGCAUUUUAUAGACAACUUGUUGACUAUGAUUUGUCUUGUAGCUUACUCGCUUAUGUUAUUUUACCUACGCUUAGGAUGUUGAGUAGCGACAUACGCACACACGCGCGGCAUAUCAAUAAGCGGAGGAAAAGGAGUAUACCUACGCUUAGGAUGUUGAGUAGCGACAUACGCAC